rnacentral:rRNA from 1 species
AUUGAACGCUGGCGGCAGGCCUAACACAUGCAAGUCGAGCGAGCGGCGGACGGGUGAGUAAUGUCUGGGGACUGCCCGAUAGAGGGGGAUAACUACUGGAAACGGUGGCUAAUACCGCAUACUAUCGGAUAACCCAUAUGGGAUUAGCUAGUAGGUGGGGUAAAGGCUCACCUCGGCGCCGAUCACUAGCUGGUCUGAGAGGAUGAACAGCAACAAUGGGACUUCGACACGGCCCAGACUCCUACGGAUGAAGCAUUGGGGAAUAUUGCAAAAUGGGCGCAAGCCUGAUGCAGCCAUGCCGCGUGUAUGAAGAAGGCCUUAGGGUUGGAAAGUACUUUCAGCGGGGAGGCGUUACCCGCAGAAGAAGCACCGGCUAACUCCGUGCCAGCCGCCGCGGUAAUUC